UGAUUUUAUAAAAGGAAACCACACAAAAGUUGGUUUCCUCUGCUUCCCUUAGUUCAUAUAUAUUUCUUUUUCACCAAGUUUUUUCAUCUCUUUGCUGUUAAACCCACAAUUAUUUUUAUCUGGGUUAAAGAUUCUACCUUGGCUUAAGUUCUGUUUGAGUGAGUGAAGUAAUGGAGUGGACUUACAAAGGAAAAAGUCUCAUAGAAUUGGUUUUUUCUUGGUCUCUUCAAGAUGUUCUUGAUCAGCGCCUUUUUGAAGACAAGGUUAGGCGAAUCCCAAAGACCUUCUCUUCGGUAUCUCAUUAUAUGUACUCGUUUAUUUUCCCACUUAUUGAAGAAACCCGUUCUGAAAUGAAUUCAAAGCUGACUAUGGUGUCCUUGGCACCGGCAUGUGAAAUACUAUCCAUUGAGCCUUUGCGCAAUCUUAAAGCUUCGGAUGGUUUGAUCUACAAUGUCGUGCUGGAAAAUAAGAUUGGUGCUGAAGAGGAGGUGGAAAUGUAUGAACCUGAGCCGGGAGAUCUUAUUGCCUUUGCAGAUGUAAGGCCAGAAGGCGUUGAUGAUUUGGACAAGCCUAAAGGAUCUUAUUUAAUUGCCUUAGUUCAAAGGAUAAAAGGUAGGUUCGAAAAUGGAGAUUAUCAUGUACAAAUUAAAGCAUCAAGGCCCAUUAAAUGUGAAGAAGGUAUGCAAGAAGUUAAGAGAAGUAAAAGUCUCUUUGCAGUUUAUCUUUUUAACAUGAUGACAAAUAUUCGGAUAUGGAAAGCACUGAACUCAAAACAGAAUCAGGGGAAUAUGAAUAUCAUAAUGCAAUUGCUGCAGACUGAUUCUUCUGCAAUGGAAAAUUGUGCUCUCUGUUUCUCUCAAGAAAAAUACACGGUUGAUAUAUCAGCUUUAGGUGCAGCAAUUCGUUCUUUUGAUCUAAAUGAAUCUCAAGAAGAAGCAGUUUUAAGCUGCAUAGCUAUGAGGGAAUGCUAUCAUCAGAAUAAAGUCAAACUAAUAUGGGGUCCUCCCGGGACUGGGAAAACAAAGACAGUGGCUUCAUUGCUGUUUGCACUUUUGAAAAGGAAAUGUAAGACGCUUACCUGUGCCCCAACUAAUGUGGCCAUAUUAGAAGUCACAACACGACUCAUGAGUUUGGUAAUGCCUUCACUUGAGUAUCAAACUUAUGGUCUCGGAGAUAUAGUUUUAUAUGGGAAUGGUGAGAGGAUGAAGAUCGAUAAUCGUGAUGACCUUCUUGAUGUUUUCCUUGACUAUCGUGCUCAUGUUCUUGCCACGUGUUUGGCACCUAUGUCUGGGUGGAAUCAUUAUUUAGAAUUGAUGAUAUGCUUGCUUGAAAACCCUGAUAAGCUUUACUGGGAAUACUUGAAAACCCAAGAAGAGACAGAUGACAAGGAAGAUGAAAAAUUUGAGGAGCAGGAGAAAGGAAAUCUGGGACAUGAGAAGCUUAGAAGUAAUGAAGAGAAGGAGGAGGGUAAGAAUUCCCAUAACACUAGAACCCAGAACAAUAAUUUUUGGAGAAGGAUAAUAUCCCAAACUUUAGAGGAGAACAAGAAGAAAUGGAAGGAGGAGUUGCAAUCUAGGAAGGAAUGCCAACAUAAUCAUUACAAGACAGCAGAAAAAUUGACAUUCAAUGAGUUUUUGAAGAAUAAAUUUCUUAGCUGUUUAGACCAGAUGAAGAUGCAUAUAUUGAACAUGUAUACUCACUUGCCAACUUCUGUACUUCCAAAAAGAAUUGUAAAAAGGAUGGUCGAAUCCGUUGAGCUGCUUGAACUUCUGGAAAAUUUGUUAUCUGCUAGUAAUGAAGGUUUUAAACAAGCCUUAGGUAUAUCUGAGGAUGAUACAAUGACAGUUUGCGCCUUUACUGAGCAGUCUAAACUGAGUGUAACUGCAAAGGAUUGUCUCGAAGUGCUGAAAUGGCUUCAUGAUGCUUUUGUUCUUCGAGAUCUUGUGAAUUCUGACAUCAAAAGUUUCUGUUUGAGAAAUGCUAGGCUGAUUUUUUGUACUGCUUCAAGCUCUUUUCAUCUGCACAAAGAAGACAUAUCACGACUCGAAAUGCUAAUUAUUGAUGAAGCUGCGCAGCUUAAAGAGAGCGAGUCAACUGUUCCUCUACUACUUCCAGGUAUCAAGCAUGUUGUUCUCAUAGGGGAUGAGCGCCAGUUGCCUGCAAUUGUCAGAAGCAAGGUCUCUAAAGGAGCUGAAUUUGGUAGAAGUUUAUAUCAAAGGCUGGUAUUGUUGGGAUACAAAAGGCAUCUCCUCAAUGUGCAGUACAGAAUGCAUCCAUCAAUAAGCUUGUUCCCUAAUAUCGAGUUCUAUGGAGAAGUCAUUAUCGAUGCUACAACUGUUAAAGAAACAAGCCACAACAAGAUUUUUCUUCCAGGGAAAAUGUAUGGCACUUACUCUUUUAUGAAUGUGGCUUGUGGACAUGAUGAAUUUGAUGGGAGGCACAGGCACAGCCACAGCAUGAAAAAUGUGGUUGAGGUAGCUGUUGUUUCUAAACUAGUUGAAAAACUUUUUAAAGAAUCAGCUGCUAGAAAGCAGAAACUUAGUGUCGGCGUUAUAGCACCUUACAAAGCUCAAGUUUUUGCAAUCCAGGAAAAAUUUGGAAAAACAUUUGAUACUGACAGUGGAUUCUCUGUGAGCGUGAGCUCAAUUGAGGGGUUUCAAGGUGGUGAGAAAGAUAUCAUAAUAAUAUCAACUGUCAGAUGUAACUCUAUGGGUUUGGUGGGAUUCCUUUCUGAUCCUCAGAGAACAAAUGUGGCUUUGACCAGAGCAAGGCAUUGCCUUUGGAUAGUCGGAAAUGGAGCAACAUUAGAUAACAGUGGUUCUGUUUGGAAGAGAUUAAUUGAUGAUGCCAAGGCCCGGGAAUGUUUUCAUAAUGCUGAUGAGGAUGAGAGCUUGGUUCAGGCUAUCACUGUUGCCUUGGUUGAGGCUAACCAACUUGACGAGUUGCUUAAUAUGGAUUCAAUACUAUUUAGAAAUGCUAGGUGGAAGGUUCUUUUUGAUGAGCAUUUUUUGAAGUCCAUUGCAAAAAUCAAGAGUACUUCGGUCUGUACUGCGGUGCUCUCAAUUUUAAGUAAGCUUUCAAGUGGCUGGCGUCAGCCUCACAACUAUAGAGAUCUCUGUGUUACAAAUGUGGUUUCUUCUCAAUUGCUGGAGCAUUACAAGGUUGAAAUGUCGCUCUAUCUUGUCUGGACUGUUGACAUUCUGAAAGAAAAUAAGUCUGGUGUCCAAGUUCUGAGGGUUUGGGAUAUUUUGCCUGCUGCUGGUAUACUAAAUUUGGCAGAAUAUGUUGCUGUCUUAUAUAAAGAUUAUUCGGCAGAUGAAAUGGAGCUGUGCAAAGUCAGACAAAUGGAAGGGAAUUCACAUGUUCCAUGGACGUGGUCUAUUAAUUCAAAUAACCUAUUGAAAGAUGAUGGCAUUGGGUUAUUGUCUCUUCGGUUUGCUUUACUCAGUCUGAUGGAUCAUUGUGAAGCAUCAGCUAGUUGUGACAGUGAUCAUAUGGAGUCUGAUUGAAGCCUGGAACUGAUUGAAGAUUGGAAGUAUGAUAGAACUCGCUUAGCAAACUAGAUUUUGGGAAAGAUCUAGCCCGGGCUGAGAUUCAGAGGUGGAGGUGUUCCGGCGUGGGGGCUUACCUGAGGUUUAUUAAACUGUUGAAAGGUUUGCAGAGCAAAGUGUUCCGGUAACCCUAUUUAUAAAAUUUUAAAAGAGUCAUGUUAACUUAAUAAUUCUUAUUAAAAUUAUCUGCUAUGCUAAUUAGACUUCUACUUUACUCAGAAUUAAACUUCUAUUAAUUUUAUAUUU